rnacentral:rRNA from 1 species
GAUGAACGCUGGCGGCGUGCCUAAUACAUGCAAGUCGAGCGAACAGACGAGAAGCUUGCUUCUCUGACGUUAGCGGCGGACGGGUGAGUAACACGUGGAUAACCUACCUAUAAGACUGGGAUAACUUCGGGAAACCGGAGCUAAUACCGGAUAAUAUUUUGAACCGCAUGGUUCAAAAGUGAAAGACGGUUUUGCUGUCACUUAUAGAUGGAUCCGCGCUGCAUUAGCUAGUUGGUAAGGUAACGGCUUACCAAGGCAACGAUGCAUAGCCGACCUGAGAGGGUGAUCGGCCACACUGGAACUGAGACACGGUCCAGACUCCUACGGGAGGCAGCAGUAGGGAAUCUUCCGCAAUGGGCGAAAGCCUGACGGAGCAACGCCGCGUGAGUGAUGAAGGUCUUCGGAUCGUAAAACUCUGUUAUUAGGGAAGAACAAAUGUGUAAGUAACUGUGCACAUCUUGACGGUACCUAAUCAGAAAGCCACGGCUAACUACGUG